rnacentral:rRNA from 1 species
AUGCCGGAGGAGCGGCGGCCGAAGCUUUCUGACGCCGGAGGCGGCGAGGACCGUCUCAGUGCAUUGCACGACGACGCCCUCAUCCAGAUCCUCCUCAAGCUCCGUUGCCUCGCUACAGCCGCCUGGACCAGCGUCCUCUGCCGCCGUUGGCGCCACCUUUGGGCCCUCCUCCCGAAGCUGCACUUCUACAACGCGACAGACCCCCGCCGCAUACGCUCCGCCCUCGCCGCCCACGAGGCCCCGACGCUCCAGGAGCUCGUCGUCGUCCAGCAGGACGCCUCUUUCGGGCCCACAGGGGCGUGGCUCCCCAUCGCCGCGUGCCGCCUCUCCGGCUUACUGUUUUGCCACUAUCUGUCAACAGAGGGUCAGGGCUAG